rnacentral:rRNA from 1 species
UUAAGUUAUUAAGGGCGCACGGUGGAUGCCUUGGCACUAGAAGCCGAUGAAGGACGUUACUAACGACGAUAUGCUUUGGGGAGCUGUAAGUAAGCUUUGAUCCAGAGAUUUCCGAAUGGGGAAACCCAGCAUGAGUUAUGUCAUGUUAUCGAUAUGUGAAUACAUAGCAUAUCAGAAGGCACACCCGGAGAACUGAAACAUCUUAGUACCCGGAGGAAGAGAAAGAAAAUUCGAUUCCCUUAGUAGCGGCGAGCGAAACGGGAAGAGCCCAAACCAACAAGCUUGCUUGUUGGGGUUGUAGGACACUCUAUACGGAGUUACAAAGGACGACAUUAGACGAAUCAUCUGGAAAGAUGAAUCAAAGAAGGUAAUAAUCCUGUAGUCGAAAAUGUUGUCUCUCUUGAGUGGAUCCUGAGUACGACGGAGCACGUGAAAUUCCGUCGGAAUCUGGGAGGACCAUCUCCUAAGGCUAAAUACUCUCUAGUGACCGAUAGUGAACCAGUACCGUGAGGGAAAGGUGAAAAGCACCCCGGAAGGGGAGUGAAAUAGAACCUGAAACCGUGUGCUUACAAGUAGUCAGAGCCCGUUAAUGGGUGAUGGCGUGCCUUUUGUAGAAUGAACCGGCGAGUUACGAUUUGAUGCAAGGUUAAGCAGUAAAUGUGGAGCCGUAGCGAAAGCGAGUCUGAAUAGGGCGUUUAGUAUUUGGUCGUAGACCCGAAACCAGGUGAUCUACCCUUGGUCAGGUUGAAGUUCAGGUAACACUGAAUGGAGGACCGAACCGACUUACGUUGAAAAGUGAGCGGAUGAACUGAGGGUAGCGGAGAAAUUCCAAUCGAACCUGGAGAUAGCUGGUUCUCUCCGAAAUAGCUUUAGGGCUAGCCUCAAGUGAUGAUUAUUGGAGGUAGAGCACUGUUUGGACGAGGGGCCCCUCUCGGGUUACCGAAUUCAGACAAACUCCGAAUGCCAAUUAAUUUAACUUGGGAGUCAGAACAUGGGUGAUAAGGUCCGUGUUCGAAAGGGAAACAGCCCAGACCACCAGCUAAGGUCCCAAAAUAUAUGUUAAGUGGAAAAGGAUGUGGCGUUGCCCAGACAACUAGGAUGUUGGCUUAGAAGCAGCCAUCAUUUAAAGAGUGCGUAAUAGCUCACUAGUCGAGUGACACUGCGCCGAAAAUGUACCGGGGCUAAACAUAUUACCGAAGCUGUGGAUUGUCCUUUGGACAAUGGUAGGAGAGCGUUCUAAGGGCGUUGAAGCAUGAUCGUAAGGACAUGUGGAGCGCUUAGAAGUGAGAAUGCCGGUGUGAGUAGCGAAAGACGGGUGAGAAUCCCGUCCACCGAUUGACUAAGGUUUCCAGAGGAAGGCUCGUCCGCUCUGGGUUAGUCGGGUCCUAAGCUGAGGCCGACAGGCGUAGGCGAUGGAUAACAGGUUGAUAUUCCUGUACCACCUAUAAUCGUUUUAAUCGAUGGGGGGACGCAGUAGGAUAGGCGAAGCGUGCGAUUGGAUUGCACGUCUAAGCAGUAAGGCUGAGUAUUAGGCAAAUCCGGUACUCGUUAAGGCUGAGCUGUGAUGGGGAGAAGACAUUGUGUCUUCGAGUCGUUGAUUUCACACUGCCGAGAAAAGCCUCUAGAUAGAAAAUAGGUGCCCGUACCGCAAACCGACACAGGUAGUCAAGAUGAGAAUUCUAAGGUGAGCGAGCGAACUCUCGUUAAGGAACUCGGCAAAAUGACCCCGUAACUUCGGGAGAAGGGGUGCUCUUUAGGGUUAACGCCCAGAAGAGCCGCAGUGAAUAGGCCCAAGCGACUGUUUAUCAAAAACACAGGUCUCUGCUAAACCGUAAGGUGAUGUAUAGGGGCUGACGCCUGCCCGGUGCUGGAAGGUUAAGAGGAGUGGUUAGCUUCUGCGAAGCUACGAAUCGAAGCCCCAGUAAACGGCGGCCGUAACUAUAACGGUCCUAAGGUAGCGAAAUUCCUUGUCGGGUAAGUUCCGACCCGCACGAAAGGCGUAACGAUUUGGGCACUGUCUCAACGAGAGACUCGGUGAAAUCAUAGUACCUGUGAAGAUGCAGGUUACCCGCGACAGGACGGAAAGACCCCGUGGAGCUUUACUGUAGCCUGAUAUUGAAAUUCGGCACAGCUUGUACAGGAUAGGUAGGAGCCUUUGAAACGUGAGCGCUAGCUUACGUGGAGGCGCUGGUGGGAUACUACCCUAGCUGUGUUGGCUUUCUAACCCGCACCACUUAUCGUGGUGGGAGACAGUGUCAGGCGGGCAGUUUGACUGGGGCGGUCGCCUCCUAAAAGGUAACGGAGGCGCUCAAAGGUUCCCUCAGAAUGGUUGGAAAUCAUUCAUAGAGUGUAAAGGCAUAAGGGAGCUUGACUGCGAGACCUACAAGUCGAGCAGGGUCGAAAGACGGACUUAGUGAUCCGGUGGUUCCGCAUGGAAGGGCCAUCGCUCAACGGAUAAAAGCUACCCCGGGGAUAACAGGCUUAUCUCCCCCAAGAGUUCACAUCGACGGGGAGGUUUGGCACCUCGAUGUCGGCUCAUCGCAUCCUGGGGCUGUAGUCGGUCCCAAGGGUUGGGCUAUUCGCCCAUUAAAGCGGUACGCGAGCUGGGUUCAGAACGUCGUGAGACAGUUCGGUCCCUAUCCGUCGUGGGCGUAGGAAAUUUGAGAGGAGCUGUCCUUAGUACGAGAGGACCGGGAUGGACAUACCUCUGGUGUACCAGUUGUCGUGCCAACGGCAUAGCUGGGUAGCUAUGUGUGGACGGGAUAAGUGCUGAAAGCAUCUAAGCAUGAAGCCCCCCUCAAGAUGAGAUUUCCCAACUUCGGUUAUAAGAUCCCUCAAAGAUGAUGAGGUUAAUAGGUUCGAGGUGGAAGCAUGGUGACAUGUGGAGCUGACGAAUACUAAUCGAUCGAAGACUUAAUCAA